AUACGUAGGUAGCAAGCGUUGUCCGGAUUUACUGGGUGUAAAGGGCGUGUAGGCGGGGAUGCAAGUCAGAAGUGAAAUCCAUGGGCUCAGCCCAUGAACUGCUUUUGAAACUGCGUCCCUUGAGUAUCGGAGAGGCAGGCGGAAUUCCUAGUGUAGCGGUGAAAUGCGUAGAUAUUAGGAGGAACACCAGUGGCGAAGGCGGCCUGCUGGACGACAACUGACGCUGAGGCGCGAAAGCGUGGGAGCAAACAGGAUUAGAUACCCUGGUAGUCCACGCUGUAAACGAUGAAUACUAGGUGUGGGGGGACUGACCCCUUCCGUGCCGGAGUUAACACAAUAAGUAUUCCACCUGGGGAGUACGACCGCAAGGUUGAAACUCAAAGGAAUUGACGGGG
rnacentral:rRNA from 1 species